GGACUACACGGGUUUCUAAUCCUGUUUGCUCCCCACGCUUUCGCGUCUCAGCGUCAGUUAUCUUCCAGGUGGCCGCCUUCGCCACAGGUGUUCCUCCUGAUAUCUACGAAUUUCACCUCUACACCAGGAAUUCCGCCACCCCCUCCGAUACUCAAGCUUAGCAGUAUCGGACGCAGUUCCUAGGUUAAGCCUAGGGAUUUCACGUCCGACUUAAUAAGCAGCCUACACGCGCUUUACGCCCAGUAAUUCCGAACAACGCUUGCACCCUCUGUAUUACCGCGGCUGCUGGCAC
rnacentral:rRNA from 1 species